UCAAGCGAUUCUUCUGACUCAGCCUCCCGAGUGGCUAGGAUUGCAGGUGCCCACUACCACGCCUGGCUAAUUUUUGUUAUUUUUAGUAGAGACAGCAUUUCACCAUCUUGGCCAGGCUGGUCUUGAACUCCUGAUCUCGUGAUCCACCCACCUCGGCCUCCCAAAGUGCUGGGAUUACAGGCGUGAGCCAAAGUGCCUGGACUCUCUGUCAUACUCUUUUUUUUUUUUUUUUUUUUAGAGACAGAAUUUAGCUCUGUCGCCCAGGCUGGAGUACAAUGGCAUGAUCUUGGCUCACUGCAAGCACCACCUCCCGGUUUCAAGCGAUUCUCCUACCUCAGCCUCCUAAGUAGCUGGGAUUACAGACAUGCGCCACCACGCCCGGCUGUUUGUUUUUUUUUUUGUUUGUUUUUUUUUUUUUUUGGUAUUUUUUGUAGAGACAGGGUUUCACCGUGUUAGCCAGGAUGGUCCUGAUCUCCUGACCUUGUGAUCCGCCUGCCUCGGCCUCCCAAAGUGCUGGGAUUACAGGCGUGAGCGACCACACCCAGUCCUCUCUCUCAUAUUCUUUAACACACAAUGAU
rnacentral:lncRNA from 10 species